GACGAACGCUGGCGGCGUGCUUAACACAUGCAAGUCGAACGGAAAGGCCUGCUUUCCCUUGUGGAUUGCGGGUGCUCGAGUGGCGAACGGGUGAGUAACACGUGAGUGAUCUGCCCCCAACUUGGGUAUAAGCCUGGGAAACUGGGUCUAAUUCCCGAUAGGACUGCAGGGUGGUGCCUGUGGUGGAAAACGAUUUUCUAGUGGUUGGGGAUGAGCUCGCGGCCUAUCAGCUUGUUGGUGGGGUAAUGGCCUACCAAGGCGGCGACGGGUAGCCGGCCUGGGGGGGGGGGCGGCCGCAUGGGGAGUGAGAUCCGGCCCAGACGCGAAGGGGAGGGGGGGGUGGGGAAUAUUGACGAGGGGGGGGAAGCCAGAGGCAGCGCCGCGGGGGGGGGGAUGCCGGCUGUCGGGUGGAAAUCUCUUGGCGCGGGCGAGGAGGCCGCUGGGUGGGAGGGGGGGGGAGGUUAGUGAAAGAAGAAGCACGGGCUAACUCCGUG
rnacentral:rRNA from 1 species